AGAUACAUUUCUUUUGCUCUACAGUCUCCAAGCCUGGGGAUGAUAGAUCUAGAUAUAUGUUGUAUUUAUGGUAUUUUGUUAGGCUUUUUGCCGGGCUUCUUAUAAAGUAGGGUAGCUAUUCUUAUUCUAGCUUUUGCUAUUCUAUCCGAAUGUCUUUGUUUUCUAGUGGAUGGUGCCAUUCUUUUUUAAAUUGCUUUUUUGCAAUUUCUGUAGGAUAGCUGGUGACUGCCUUCCCAUUCUGGAUGAUCCAAAAACGGCUUCUGGCAUGAAAAAGAUUCUAAAUUCUCAUGACGUAUAUACAUCUAAGGACUUUCCAAUAGGAACGGUUUCAGAAAGCGAAAUCCCUACGGAAGCCCUUGAAAACUGUCAACUGACAAAAAAUCUGCCCGGGCCUCUUAGUACCAAAAUGUAUUAUUCUCAAAGGAAUAUUCGCCUUCGGUUAUCGCUUAGUCAUCAGUGCUUUAGUACUCCAACCAAAGAACUUUGCAGUGACAAGGCCAAUUGACAAGUGUCACAGCAAAGCACGAUGACGUUACGGGAUUCAUCUCAGGGGGUCAGUCCUCUUGAACAGUUGGAUAAUCUGCUUACUGAGAAGCAAGAGUGUUCUCAGCAGAUAUCCAAUCAAAAUCUUGCUCAAAUUUCAGAAUUAUGCUCAAGUAAAUCCAAGAGGUACUUGCUGUCCAAUGACUUCUUAAAUCCACAGCCCCUUGAUAAUAUUCCAAGGCCUCAGGCUGAUUCUGUUGGAUUGACCCGAAGGAAAUAUGUUCCUGAGCAUGGUGCUUUUUCAGGCAACUCAGGUAGUCUAUAACAAAGUUGUUGAUUAUUUGCAGCCUCCAAAUGGAAGUGUUCAUGUUGUAUAGACAGUUCAGGGUUCGAUUUUUGCUUGGCGAAGGUGUAUUUUAACCGUACAUGAGAUUUAGGAUCCAUUUUUGAAAGCCUAGAAAAGCAUCUCUUCAGUUGUUCAUUAUAGUCUUGUGAAUUA